AACGAACGCUGGCGGCAGGCUUAACACAUGCAAGUCGAACGGGCAUAGCAAUAUGUCAGUGGCAGACGGGUGAGUAACGCGUGGGAAUCUACCGUACCCUACGGAAUAACGCAUGGAAACGUGUGCUAAUACCGUAUACGCCCUUAGGGGGAAAGAUUUAUCGGGGUAUGAUGAGCCCGCGUUGGAUUAGCUAGUUGGUGGGGUAAAGGCCUACCAAGGCGACGAUCCAUAGCUGGUCUGAGAGGAUGAUCAGCCACAUUGGGACUGAGACACGGCCCAAACUCCUACGGGAGGCAG
rnacentral:rRNA from 1 species